rnacentral:rRNA from 1 species
GGGCGGAAGCCUGAUGCAGCGACGCCGCGUGAGGGAUGACGGCCUUCGGGUUGUAAACCUCUUUCAGUAGGGAAGAAGCGAAAGUGACGGUACCUGCAGAAGAAGCGCCGGCUAACUACGUGCCAGCAGCCGCGGUAAUACGUAGGGCGCAAGCGUUGUCCGGAAUUAUUGGGCGUAAAGAGCUCGUAGGCGGUUUGUCGCGUCUSCUGUGAAAGCCCGGGGCUCAACCCCGGGUCUGCAGUGGGUACGGGCAGACUAGAGUGCAGUAGGGGAGACUGGAAUUCCUGGUGUAGCGGUGAAAUGCGCAGAUAUCAGGAGGAACACCGAUGGCGAAGGCAGGUCUCUGGGCUGUUACUGACGCUGAGGAGCGAAAGCAUGGGGAGCGAACAGGAUUAGAUACCCUGGUAGUCCAUGCCGUAAACGUUGGGCACUAGGUGUGGGGGACAUUCCACGUUUUCCGCGCCGUAGCUAACGCAUUAAGUGCCCCGCGUGGGGAGUACG